rnacentral:rRNA from 1 species
UACGAAGGGGGCUAGCGUUGCUCGGAAUCACUGGGCGUAAAGCGCACGUAGGCGGGUCGUUAAGUCAGGGGUGAAAUCCUGGAGCUCAACUCCAGAACUGCCCUUGAUACUGGCGAUCUCGAGUUCGGGAGAGGUGAGUGGAACUGCGAGUGUAGAGGUGAAAUUCGUAGAUAUUCGCAAGAACACCAGCGGCGAAGGCGGCUCACUGGCCCGGUACUGACGCUGAGGUGCGAAAGCGUGGGGAGCAACAGG